AGAGGGGCUGCCAGCGGAGUCUCCAGAC
rnacentral:piRNA from 1 species